AUUCCCACUAUGAACUUGACAUAUCUGUCUGCCAUUACUUCAUCUGGCCGGUAAUUCCCAAUCAAAAGGUUCAUUAACUGAUAAUUAAGUUGAUAAAUAUUGAUUCAUCAUCUGUUACUUCAUUAAGCUCACCUGCCAGUCUACUGAGAUAUAUUUUCUACUAUCUUGAUAUUCACCUGUAAAAUCUGUGAUCUCCAACUUCCAAAAGCACUUUUACUUCCUGCAAAUUAAAGGAGAAGUGUUUUUCCCACAUCAUUUCUUUUCCAGGGGAGGACAAACUUCAUUUGGCUUAACUGCAAUCCUUUGGUGUAAGUUUUCUCAGUCGUUCCAUGUCAAGGAAGAAAAAUAAUUCAGAGCAUGUAUCU
rnacentral:lncRNA from 1 species